AACGAACGCUGGCGGCAGGCCUAACACAUGCAAGUCGAGCGAGGACUUCGGUUCUAGCGGCGGACGGGUGAGUAACGCGUGGGAAUGUGCCCUUCUCUACGGAAUAGCCCUGGGAAACUGGGAGUAAUACCGUAUACGCCCUAUUGGGGAAAGAUUUAUCGGAGAAGGAUCAGCCCGCGUUGGAUUAGGUAGUUGGUGGGGUAAUGGCCUACCAAGCCGACGAUCCAUAGCUGGUUUGAGAGGAUGAUCAGCCACCUUGGGACUGAGACACGGCCCAGACGCCCCAGGGGGCCAGGAGUGGGGAUUUUUCGGAAAUGGGGGCACCCCGGAUCUCGCAAUGCCCCGUGGGUGAUGAAGGCCUUAGGGUUGUAAAGCUCUUUCAGCGGGGAAGAAAAGGCCGGUCCCAGCAGAAGAAGCCCCGGCUACCCCCGC
rnacentral:rRNA from 1 species